UGGUCUUCCGAUCUAGAGAAUCUACAGUCACCCUGGAGCUUUUGCUUCUUCUCUGCCCAGCCUGCUAGGCCAACAGAUCAGAAUUUUUUCCUUCUAUUUCCAUAGGAAUCAAUGCUCGAUUGUCAGCUUGUCAAGCCUAAUGGUC